rnacentral:rRNA from 1 species
GUCCUGGCCUUAAACGAUGGAUGCUUGGUGUCUGGAGUUAUAUAGUCUCCGGGUGCCGCAGCUAACGCGUUAAGCAUCCCGCCUGGGGAGUACGGUCGCAAGACUGAAACUCAAAGGAAUUGACGGGGACCCCGCACAAGCGGUGGAGCAUGUGGUUCAAUUCGACGCAACGCGAAGAACCUUACCUGGGCUAGAAUGCCUCUGACAACUCCAGAGAUGGAGCCUCUUAGGGAAACCUAGGCAGAGUGCAAGGUGCUGCAUGGCUGUCGU